rnacentral:misc_RNA from 1 species
UCUCCGUUGGUGAACCAGCGGAGGGAUCAUUACCGAGUUUUCUACUCCCGAACCCCUGUGAACUUAUACCUUUACCGUUGCUUCGGCGGGUUAACGCCCCGGAAAGGCCCCCGAAAGGGAGCCGCCCCGGAACCAGGCGCCCGCCGGGGGACCCAAACUCUUGUAUUUUCUUACCUAGCAUGUCUGAGUGGAAUCAUAAACAAAUGAAUCAAAACUUUCAACAACGGAUCUCUUGGUUCUG